rnacentral:tRNA from 1 species
GUUUUAGUAGUUUAAAGUAAAACUUUGGUCUUGUAAAUCAAAAUUAAGGUAUCCAGCCUUCUAAAACU